GACGAACGCUGGCGGCGUGCUUAACACAUGCAAGUCGAACGCUGAAGCUCAGCUUGCUGGGUGGAUGAGUGGCGAACGGGUGAGUAACACGUGAGUAACCUGCCCUCUUCUUUGGGAUAACGCCCGGAAACGGGUGCUAAUACUGGAUAUUCACUGAUUCUCGCAUGGGGGUUGGUGGAAAGGUUUUUUCUGGUGGGGGAUGGGCUCGCGGCCUAUCAGCUUGUUGGUGGGGUGAUGGCCUACCAAGGCUUUGACGGGUAGCCGGCCUGAGAGGGUGACCGGUCACAUUGGGACUGGGAUACGGCCCAGACUCCUACGGGAGGCAGCAGUGGGGAAUAUUGCACAAUGGGCGAAAGCCUGAUGCAGCGACGCCGCGUGAGGGAUGGAGGCCUUCGGGUUGUAAACCUCUUUCGCUCAUGGUCAAGCCGCAGCUUGGGGUUGUGGUGAGGGUAGUGGGUAAAGAAGCGCCGGCUAACUACGUG
rnacentral:rRNA from 1 species